UCCCGUGUGGAUCAGUUGGUAGAGCAUGGUGUUUGCAACGCCAGGGUUGUGGGUUCGAUUCCCACUGGGGAA
rfam:Salmo salar isolate Sally breed double haploid chromosome ssa09, whole genome shotgun sequence.